UACAGAGGUCUCAAGCGUUGUUCGGAUUCAUUGGGCGUAAAGGGUGCGUAGGCGGCGCGGUAAGUCGGAUGUGAAAUCUCGGGGCUUAACUCCGAAACUGCAUUCGAUACUGCCGUGCUUGAGGACUGGAGAGGAGACUGGAAUUUACGGUGUAGCGGUGAAAUGCGUAGAUAUCGUAAGGAAGACCAAUGGCGAAGGCAGCUCGCUGGGACGUGACUGACGCUGAGACGCGAAAGCGUGGGGAGCAAACAGG
rnacentral:rRNA from 1 species